GACGAACGCUGGCGGCGUGCUUAACACAUGCAAGUCGAACGGAAAGGCCCUGCUUUUGUGGGGUGCUCGAGUGGCGAACGGGUGAGUAACACGUGAGUAACCUGCCCUUGACUUUGGGAUAACUUCAGGAAACUGGGGCUAAUACCGGACAGCAGCUCCCGCCGCGUGGUGGGGGUGGGAAAGUUUCGGGGGUUGGGGAUGGACUCGCGGCUUAUCAGCUUGUUGGUGGGGUAGUGGCUUACCAAGGCUUUGACGGGUAGCCGGCCUGAGAGGGUGACCGGCCAAAUUGGGACGGGGAUAGGGCCCAGACUCCUCCGGGAGGAGGCAGUGGGGAAUAUUGAACAAUGGGGGGAAGCCGGAUGCAGCAAGGCCGGGGGGGGGAGGAGGGCCUUGGGGUUGUAAACCGCUUUCGCCUGGAACGAAGCGUGAGUGACGGUAAUGGGUAAAGAAGCACCGGCUAACUACGUG
rnacentral:rRNA from 1 species